GACGAACGCUGGCGGCGCGCCUAACACAUGCAAGUCGAACGAACGAGCGAGAGCUUGCUUUCUUGAGCGAGUGGCGAACGGGUGAGUAACGCGUGAGGAACCUGCCCCAAAGAGGGGGACAACAGUUGGAAACGACUGCUAAUACCGCAUAAGCCCACGACCCGGCAUCGGGUUGAGGGAAAAGGAGGAAUCCGCUUUGAGAUGGCCUCGCGUCCGAUUAGCUAGUUGGAGAGGUAACGGCCCACCAAGGCGACGAUCGGUAGCCGGACUGAGAGGUUGAGCGGCCACAUUGGGGCUGAGACACGGCCCAGACUCCUACGGGAGGGAGGAGUGGGGGAUAUUGCACAAUGGGGGAAGCCCUGAUGCAGCGACGCCGCGUAGAGGAAGAAGGUCUUCGGAUUGUAAACUCCUGUUGUUGAGGAAGAUAAUGACGGUACUCAAUAAGGAAGUGACGGCUAACUACGUG
rnacentral:rRNA from 1 species